GGGCGGGGCGGGGCGGGGCUCCGGCCGAGAGAGGGACGCCCUUGCUGCUCCGCGGCGCCCGCUGCCGGGCCUCUCUCCCAGCUGCGGCCCGACGCCCUGGCUCCUCCUUCUGCGGAACUAACCGCUGCGGCUUGCGGGAAAGGGUGGUGCACUCUUCUUCGUAAACAGGCUGUCGCCACCCGACACGGGAAGGUGUAAAGGACACUGGGCGGGUCCUCAUGGUCUCUUUCGGGAACGCUGAAUUAGAGAAUAAAGCGCAGCGACCUGAAAACAGAAACCCUAGAGCCCGGGCAGCGGUUUCGUGGGGCCCGACACCCUUCAGGGCUCUGGUGGGGACUGGGGCACUGCAGACUGCCUGGACACCCGGGCCCUGGCUCAAUCUUUGGCACGAGUCAGGCAAAAUUUGGGACAAUAGUUGGGAUUCCCAGGGUUGAGCGUCCGCUACCGAAGUGUCUCGUGGCCUGAUAGAUUUCAAAAUCACGAAAGGUUUGGCCAUUGUUCUCCCAACAGCUUAAAGUCACUUAGUCUCGCCUGUACCCCCCGGAGAGGACCCCUGGGAAGGUAAAUUAUUACAUCACACUGGGCCACUAGCAUGUUGGGGCUCAACUCUAUGGUCUGGCCUUGGAACAACUCAAUGUUUUAUUGAAAAUGAAAUACACAUGCAUGAAAAAGUUUUACCUCGGAGAUGUACUGAAGAGUUCCUGGGUUCAACAAACCAUGGAAUUUCCUUUUCUACCCAGACCAGCACAAUGUUUGGAUUCUUGCAAGAGCUUGUAAGACACACUGUGUGGAGGCGAUGUAUGAAAUAAACAUCUUAGUAUCUUGGAUUAUAAUCUCCAGACAUGAUGACAAUUAAAGGAGGUAAAAUUAAGGAGGGAGGGAGUGGGAAACCCAAGGUGGGGGAUUAUCAUCUCUGUUAAUUUUCAAAGCCGUAAAAGCGUGAUGUAACGGAAAUGUUCUCUGGCUCCAUGUUGGCACUUUUUGUGAAAACGGGUAUCUAUUUGGUGGUCUCUGCAACUAUCUUACUUAAUGCUGUAUGUCAGUUAUACCUGAGCAAAGUUGAAAAAAACUUCCCCAUCAUGGAAAAUGUCUUGGAAAUAAGUUGUUUUCUCAUGAGAAAAUUUAGAAGGGAGAAACUAUGGCUAGAAUUUGGUUUCCUAGUUACAGGUACUAGAGUAAAUUCCAGAAUUGGGGGUUUUAUUGGAGCAUUGUUUUAGUGAAAUUUCUACACCUGGGGUUCAUCAAGCUAUUUCUUCUUAAUAUAACUGAAGGGUUUCUCACGGAUUUCUUUUACUUAUUUUGACUUGGCCCAGCGGCAGCUCCAUUUGAAAGGUUUUGAGUCUAUUUUUCUGAACAAGCUCCAUGGGGCAGGAAUAGCGUUUUCUUGCUGUAUCUCCAGUGCUGAGAGAGAGGCCUAUACCAGGUGCAUGAUAUAUGCCUAUGGAUACUGAAUGAAAUAAGUGGGUGUUGCUGUCAAACGCGCUGAACACGGCUCUGCCCAUCCUCCCCCAGCGUGGACUUAGCAAAUGCUGGGACGUUUCUGAGAGCUUUUGAUUUUAAUGACUUCAGGAACUAGGAAGAGAGCAGGAUUUGUCUCUGAAAGGAAUGAAUUACAACUGUCUGUACGGACAGUUUUCCUAAAUCAGGCAUGGAGCUACUGUCUAUCUCUUUACCCGGAGAUCCUCUUAGUGUCUGAGCCCAAGGGCGGAGUAUUGACCGUGAACUUCCUAAGGUCCCGCGAGGACUAGAACUCCAGAGUCAAGGCUUUGCGUGAACGAGGGGCUCAAACCUGGUGGCGCCUCCACCCCUCCUAGAGAUGUUGUCAAGCGGCCUGUGAGAAGAUGAGGAGGGAUGGAGAAGAUGCUUGUCUGUAGACCGUGUUUUGAGCUCUAUGGCAGCUCCUCUGCAAACCUUAGGAAUGAUGGUAGGUGGAGGGAGGUGGCUGGGAUUCAUUAAACAGAGGCUGACUGUGUUAAAGAAAACAAUGGCAGAUGUCCCUCUUACCUCCUAAAUUGUAUAUUUACGUCCUGCUUUUCAGAGACGGGGCAGCAGCAUGAAGGCAGAGGCUUUACCCCAUCAGGGCGCUUUUUAGGUGUUGUGAAAACCCGUAAGAGAACUGCUAAACACAGGAUAGUUAAGCCAUGUUUCUGCUGUUGGUCCUGGGAGCACUGCCACCUCUGCUUGCACCUAGGUGGGCACCUGCCAGCCGAUGGGCCCUUACUUGGCUGUUAACUCGAGAGCAUUCCUGUUAUACACAGGGAUUCUGAACAGGAAGAAGGGCAUUUCUCAGAAGGAACAGGCAGCAUGGGCAGCAGCUGAACUACCCAGAAUUUAUAUGCUGAUAAUCAUUAUGCAAGCAUUACACAUAAAUCACAAGUUCAAAGUAAGGGUUUAUUACCCUCUAUGGUUGUUGCCGUGUUGGGUACCAGAAGGUAUGGCACAAAGUUGAGACACUGAGUCGAUAAGAAAGAAUAAUGAGUAACCUGACCUUUUUGCAUUGCUUCUUUUGUCAAAGAAAGUGUUCUCAGAGUUGAGCAACUAAAUAAAAAGAGCCUCAGCCCAGAACACACACAGGUCUUUCUUAACACACAAAAUAUACCCUUGAGUCUCUUUUUCUGCAGGAAGCGUCAUGUGCUACCUGCAUCAUCUUUAAGCAUUCUCACGUCCUGCAACACGCAGUGUGUCUUUUUUAAAAACUGAUGUGCAGUGUUGUGUUAAUGUCUCCUGUACAGCAAAGUGACACAGCGGUACGUGAACAUAUUCUUUUCCAUUGUGGUUGAUCACAGGCGUUGUGCAGUAGGACCUUGUUGUUCAUCCAUAUUCUAUACGUAACAGUUUGCACCUGCUAACCCCAAACUCCCAAUCUGUCCCUCCCCGCCUUCCCUCUUCCUUGGCAACCACAAGUCUGUUCUCUAUGUCCGUGAGUCUGUUUCUGCUGUGUAGGUCUGUUCAUCUGUGUUGGAUUUUAGAUGCACCUGUUCAGUGUAUCGUGUGGUAUUUGCUUUUGCCUUUCUGACUUCACUUAGUAUGAUCAUCUUUAGGUCCAUCCGUGUGGCUGCAGAUGGCAGUAUUUCGUUCUUGUAAUGGUUAAGUAGUUAGUAUCCCAUUGUUUAGAUAUACCACAUCUUCUUAUUUUGAGGGGGGCUGCCCUGCUGAAUGCAGCAGUCUCAGGGCCAGGGGUCAGACUUGCUCCAGAGCAGCAGCCUGAGCCACAGCAGUGACAACACCAGGUUAUUAACUAUCAGGCCACCAGGAAUCUCCUACUACAUCUUCUUUAUCCGUUCAUCUAUUGAUGGACAUUUAGGUUGUUUUCAUGUCUUGGCUGUUGUGAAUAGCGCUGCUAUGAACAUAGGGGUAUGCUAUCUUUUCAAAUUAUAGUGUCGU